GUCUUCGUGGCUCAGUUGGCUAGAGCGUUGGUCUCAUAUUAUAUGAUUCAGUCACAGACUGGGCUAUCCAAAGGUCGUGAGUUCGAGCCUCACCGAGGACA
rnacentral:tRNA from 1 species